rnacentral:tRNA from 3 species
GCGAGGGUUGCCAAGCCAGGCCAACGGCGGCGGGCUUAAGACCCGCUCGUGUAGACGUCCAUGGGUUCGAAUCCCAUCCCUCGCA